AUGACUUUGGUCUCUGUCCUCAUCUGGACUCUCCUCUGCUGCUGCUUCACAGAGUCCAGAGGCCAGGUCACAGUGACUCAGCCUGGAGCAGUGAGCUCUGAUCUGGGAGCCUCCACCACCAUCACAUGUACCACCAGUCAGAACGUUUAUGGCUCAGACCGUUUAGCCUGGUACCAACAGAAAGAUGGAGAAACUCCUAAACUUCUCAUUUACUAUGCCACCAGUCGACAAUCAGGGAUUUCCAGUCGUUUUUCAGGCAGUGGAUCAAACUCUCAUUUCACUCUGACCAUCAGUGAUGUUCAGGCUGAAGAUGCAGCAGUUUAUUACUGUCAGAGUUUUCACUAUAUCAACAGUCAGAAUGUGUUCACACAGUGAAAAACCGUCGUACAAAAACCUCCUUC